ACACACACACACACACUCACUCACAUACACUUAAUUGCUAAUUGCUUCCACACUAUCACACUCAACUCACACUCCACCUCCUCUGCGCCCUCCCCAGCAGACACCCGCUUCAGGAACCAAGUUGGUAAGAGCUAGUAUUUGGCGCCCUCUGGUGGAAUUACAUGAGAAAUGCCAAAUCCAAAUAACUGCCAAGAUUCCCAGGCGAUUGAGGGAAGGAGGAGCCUUGGCCACCCAUCCCAGGCCCCUUGUUUUCCAGAUAAGGAAACCAAAGACCCCAAGAGGGGUAGGACUUGCUGGAGACUACACAGCGAGCAGGCAGCUAGAACCUCACUCCCUAGCUCCCAGGCUAAUGCUCCUUUGUAUGAUCCCAGCUGCUGACAGACAACAACGCGGACCUCAUCUUCCUACUGGCCAGACCCAGGAGGCCCUGGAGCCUUCCUUCCCAGAAAGAAGCUUCGGAGCACUGCUUGGUGCCAGCCACGGUGCUGGGAGCUGCGGAUGCAAGGACCGUGGCGAUCGUUCCAUGGCUGUUAGCCACGAUGAUUCUAGGAGCCUCGGUGGCCCACGUCCUAGGCUGGAGUCCCCAUAGGCUACUGGGACUCGCCCUGCUUGGAAGUGGACGAGGCGUUUCUCCGGCCCUGGCUCUCCUGGCCUUCUCCAGCCCAAUGUGUGACCCGCUACAGCCACCUGGUGGGCCGCGGGGGAAUACAGCAACGAUUUCAAUAAACCCCAGGACAUAGGCCCUGCCGGGAAAGGAGUCUGGGGCCUGGCAUGGUCUAGAUUCCCUCCCCAAGGACUGCCCAGUCCCCUUCCCCCUCCAUCCUCAGUUCCCUUUAGUAAUAGAGAAAGCCGUCCCCCGUGUUCUCUCGGCUGAUCUAUAGUAGGCGAGGGUGGGCAUGGAAUAAAACGACCGCUUCUGCUGCUUUACUCCUCAGGUUAUUUCCAUUCGAAAUUAGUUAGGCAGGGAGGAGACAUCAGGCUGGAGCCCAGAGGCAGGAGGGAAGCGCCCACCGACCCCACCCCGCGUUCCAAAACGUUCCCUCCAGCGCAGCGUCUCCCAAUAGCCGGGAUCCUGGGGGUCCCAGCCAAUCUGAUGGGGGUCGCGUUUUUCCCGGCCUGGGACGCGGGAGGCUCCAUUCUGCACCAGAAGCGGGGAGGGCCAAGGGAGACAUGAGCACAGCUGGCUCGAGUGGCUCGUGGAGUUAGCCUGCAGCCGCCUCUCUGGUGGGCGCUGGAUCCCCACAAGCCCCCAGGGGAAAACGGUCUACGCCUCUUAGACCCGCACCUUCGCCAGCAGAACCGGAACUGCCACUGCUGCUAGGAGAAAGUCUUGGACAAUAAUCGCGACGUCCAGGCCACACAGGCCAUAAACCGCCACGGGAGCAGCGAGCGCCCUGAGUAGCGCAGCCCCCCGCUCCCCAGGAGGUGGGAACCACGCUGGAACCAGCAAGCCCAAGCUCUGCGCCUUCGCGGCGAGAUCUGACGGCCCUAGUGGCCCCCAUCCUCCCGUCGGCCGGAGACCGGACCCGGUUACCACCACCUCCCCGCAAUUUCUAGUCUCUAAAUUAUGCUGUCCCCGAAAACAAAGAAAGUGACCAAGAAAUAAUGUGAAAAUGUUACCAAGAGAGUUUACUAUUGAAAGAAGUCUAGCCAUCAAAUAAAUGUCUUUUACUAAACGAUGAA